GGCCUCCAGCUUCUUCCAUUCCGGCUGUUUCCAUCUGAAUUAUACCUUGCAUAGGUGGAAGCUCUUUGGCAGCUCACCAAAACCUAGUUUUAUUUGAAUGGUACCUUUGGCCUGUCAGUCACCUAGUCACUCAACAAAUAUUUAUUACAUUUCAUGUCCUGGUCUGGAGCUAAGCUGGGAAUAGACAAUACAAUGACUAUGUCUCUGUGUUUGGCAAGGGAAAAAGAAGGCAAAAGAAAAACUGCUCGGGGAGAAAGAACAACUGAGAUAUGUCUGGCAAGUUGAUUCAAGAAACAGUUGCCCGACCUCAAAACCUGGAUAAGUCUUCACCAAACUUGGUACAAAGACAAGUUCUUGCUAAAGGAGGAUACAAUUGUCCUUUGUGCUGGAGAGUGAUCUCAUGGUGCUACGUGUGGCCCUGUUCUGGUGAAGAGUGGCAGGCGUCACCCUUUCUGAGGUAGACUGAGAAGUGAAAGGAAGAAGACCCAGGGGUCACACUGGAAUGCGCUACAAGUGUAGGCUUGUGAAACAACUCACUUGUCCUUCCCGGAGAAUGUUCCUCAGUAGUGGCAGAUGCUCUGGAGUGAGAUCUCGAAGUGAUCUGAUACCCCGGCGAUGGCA
ensembl:processed_transcript